CGGAGGGUGCAAGCGUUAUCCGGAUUCACUGGGUUUAAAGGGAGCGUAGGUGGGAUGGUAAGUCAGUGGUGAAAUCUCCGGGCUUAACUCGGAAACUGCCGUUGAUACUAUCAUUCUUGAAUAUUGUGGAGGUAAGCGGAAUAUGUCAUGUAGCGGUGAAAUGCUUAGAUAUGACAUAGAACACCGAUAGCGAAGGCAGCUUGCUACACAAUUAUUGACACUGAGGCUCGAAAGCGUGGGGAUCAAACAGGAUUAGAUACCCUGGUAGUCCACGCCCUAAACGAUGGAUACUCGACAUACGCGAUACACAGUGUGUGUCUGAGCGAAAGCAUUAAGUAUCCCACCUGGGAAGUACGACCGCAAGGUUG
rnacentral:rRNA from 1 species